UAAUUAUGCUGGUAUGUAUAUUUUUGGAGUUUUAUAUAUGAUUUGUAAUGAAGUGUACUGGCCCUUUAAGAAACGCUUAACUUUGGGCGCGUUCUCUCCUGUGGCUCAGUAACGCUAAGCUACACUGAGAUGAGGAUAUCUGGUGGCUCACGGAGCCAAAGAGUCCACAUCCCAUCACAUGGGACCGGUUACACCAGCAAAACAAACUCAAGAAUCACUGACUGCACCUUUCACAUUAGAAUAAAUACAAAAUACCAGCCAGGUUACAUGUUAAGACUUUCGUAUCCUUACACCCUCAAACAUUCCACUGUUGCAGAAGGACAAGCCUAAAGGAUUCACGUUUUGGACACCCUUGGUCAGUUUCACCUUCAGGAAUGCCAACAUCAUCUGUAAAUUUAAUGACAACGGUCUUUGAAGAUACACGUCUGAGGGACAGGUCCAGGACGGGCACCUGGUUCCUGCACUUCAGCCAUCCUCAGAGGUUAUAUCUGCAGAAUAAU